rnacentral:lncRNA from 1 species
CAUUUAUUGCAUGUCGGAAAAAAACUUGCGACUCGAGAAACACUAAUAGAAAUUAAUGAAUACAAUUUGAAAAUAUCCGAAACAUACAAAUUAUUCUUCUCUAAUUCUAUCGAAAUUUCUUGUAUUCAAUCGCGAUAAUGAAUACAUUUGUAUUUAGGGUAAAAGCAUAGUUUUUUCAGGUUAUGUACAAACACAUGAUGUUGUUACUGAAAGAAAACUAGAUUAGUCAGUAAAUGAAUAAACCUUUUUUUGAAAAAAAAAAACUACUCGGAGUUACAUGAAAAGCAGUAGUGAAAUAUUAAGUUGAAGGCCCUUAGAAACUCCUGCGUAGAUACGGUCCUGACGACGAUAAGACGAGGCACGACGAGAUAAUGCAGGAGAUUAUUAUUAGUUCAAGCUUCAAUAGCUGAGGUUUUGCUAUUGUAGUCUCUAUAAAAUGAUUGUGUCUGCUUAAAUAUUUCCUCUGAUCAUCAUCCUUCGUUGUUUAAAUAAUAUUUCUGCAAAAUGUACGCAAGAAUCAGUUCUAUUAAACGUGGUAUAUAGGUUAUGUUGCGAAAAGUGCUAAAUAUCGUUCGAAAUUUUCGAAUAAUUGUUUUGCGUCAUGCGUCCAGCAGUUGUCACUUCGUCAACUCAAGCUUCAGUCUCACCUCGGAAAAAAUAUUCUAAACUUUAUCUACCAGUGAUGAACGUUUGCAUGGUGAUGACCUUGAAGACAAAAACCUACGAUUCGAACUUGAUUCUUAGGCUCGCCGCCAUCUCUGUCAAAUCGGAUUUUUUGAGCGUUUCCGCAGGUGAUCGUAGAUAUACGUACGAAAUUCUUUAUUCAUAUUGAACGUUCGCAGUGGCCAUUUUUGCAAACCUGUCGUUUCCCCCCUUUCGAUUAAUCCCAUAACCCUGUACCGUAGUACAGAUGUGGAGCAGUUUUUUUUUCUUGCCAAACGUACAAUACACAUACGCACCUGCUCCGAUGAUAUUUUACAUGUUAUCGAGGUUUUCCCCCCUUUAGAAACGUGCAUCGAAAAAUCCUCUUUCGCUUCUGAAACUCAUCACUCAAUUCAUGCUCGAAUACCAAAUGAAUUAUUAUCGUUAGUUUUUUUACCUGAAAUUGAAAAAGGUACAAAAUAUUGAAGUACAAAGGCAUUUCGGAUAAAAUAUCUAGUCACCUAUUCGUCGAUAAUGAAAAAUUUUUUUUCCACGACAUUAACGAAGGUUAAAAAAAUCGUGUUCUCUCUUCCCAAAAUGUCGCGUUUCGCAUAAUUUUUCGUUCGUUUAUUUUCGAGUGAAAAGAUUACGAAAUCGUACGUAAGCAACUCGGCGUAAUAUUUUUCAGGAAAAUCGGAAAAAAAGCAUCUGGAUUUGUUUAUUGAGAACAGUCGUAAAAAUCGCGUUUGAUUUGAUAGCCUCAAGGUUGAAAUAGUGCUUUCGUUGUACCACACAAGCAUCUUCGUCGCCCCACGACCAAGUAUAUGUUCGUAAGCGCAUUACGGCUUUUGUACUGCAAUCGUUAUUUCAACUCUUAUUUAAUAUCGUACGUGCAUCGAUUGCAGUGUUUUCCCUCUCGUGCGUUUUACACGACCAAUCGAAUACCCAGUUAUAAAUAGAUUUAGCGAGUUCUUGACUGCUGAUCCUUGCUAUUACUAUAUGAAUUUAUAUAUUCCUACGUCUACUCUCUUUCAUGCAGGAGUGUCAAGUUCACACUGCAAAUGCUCGUGGAGUAUUUAGCUGCUCCAAUUAGACGUCAUUUCCGUUUUUAGUGCUAUUCGUCAAUAAAUUAAAAAUAAUGUUCUUCGUAAUCGAUUGUUCCUCUGUUUAUUUUCACGAUGCCAUUAUUUUAUUCACAGACUUCUCGCGGACGGAUUACGAAUCUUCGGAAUCGUGCAAAAAUCUCAAAUUUUUUUUGAAUUAUUUUGCAAAUCGCUGACCAAUUCUAAUACACGUGCGACGACAGCUGAUGCGAGGGCAUAUUUUUUUCUUAAUUUUAGAGAAUAAAAUAAUGGGCGCAACAAUCGAGUUUCAAUAUUUUUUCAUAUAAAUUUUAUUUGGAAAAAUACUUAGAAGACGAUCAUCGACGUUUUCUACUUUUUUUUUAAGUAUUUGUCUCGCUUGAAGAUACCAUUUGUGUAUACAAACACAUGUUAUAUAAGUAUUUACAUAAACAUUAAGAAUUAUUGCUUAGUGUCAAAGAAAAUAAUUAAAUUAUUGUCAAAUAAACAAUAAUGAUCACAAUUUUCUGUUCGUUAAUGUAAUAACUGGGUCUCUCGAACAAGUGAAACGAUAAGUCUUGGUUCAAGGUCCAAGACAGCUUCGUAACAGCUACGGAGAAAAAGGGUGAAUGAUGAUUUAUCCAUUUCUUUUAAUAUUACAUUGUCGCAGAAAUAUUGAACACUAGUCGGCUUCGCUUAUCAUUUCCAAAACGAUUAUGCUCGAGUAAAGUUGAAAUUAUGCCGAAAUUACUUGGCUCUUGUAAAGGCUGUGAUGAGGAAGCAAUUCACAAUCGUUUGUCUAUUCGCUUUUACAACCACUUUUCUUAUUUAUAGUUAGAAAAACAAAGCGUUCGAACACGGUGGUGACAAUAUUUCGAUGCUUUUUAUAUACUAAUGAUAAAGAGACGGAAAAUCAUUUUUGAUUUUACAAUUUCAUCGUUCCUUCUCGACCUACGAAACAUUCAAUCCACAUCCGCGUAUGUUUUUAUAUAAAUAUAUUUAUUUAUAAUUUGUGUACAUAAAUUUUUGUGAGACCAACUCAAAACAUGAAUAUUCCUGCUUGAGAUUGGCGGUUUAACGAUGUGUGCGAGGUAUUUAUAUAUUAUGAAGUUCCAACACCGAGGGCAAACACGAAAGAAAGUCAAAAUUGUAUGUGAACAUCAUUGUUAAACGUGAGUGAUGCCCACUUAUCAAUACUGCUCUCUGAACAAUCAAAAUUUCUCAAUUCCAGUCUGAUAGAAGCACUCCCAAAGAAAUCAUUGACCCGCAAGAAUUUGAAUGGUUGGUGGAGCAUUUUUUCAGCUCGGUUCGAUGCACAAGAAAGAAAAAUGCAUGCUGCGAUGAGGUGUCCGAUUCAUCAAGAAUUAAGCAACUAAAACUAUGACGCAUAGCCAUCGAUUGGAUGCAUUUGCAAUUUUUAAAGUUAUAAACAAUGAGCUUUGAAGAUCGAAGCAAUCUUCGUUCAAGAUAAACGCUGUAGAAAAAUAACUGAAGAGAUUGUUUGUGAAGAAACUUUUCCCUUUUCUAUAGACGAUCAAAUAUAUUUCCUCUUUUUUUUCAAGAUAAUUGAUCUACCUCAACGCAGAAUCUUAGAUUUGUACAAGUGGUUCGCUGGGAUUUACAGUCAUGACAAGUGUAGACUUGGAUUUUUCAAGUAUUUUCAAUGCCAUCCUACGUAUCAGUUUCAUUUUUAUCUUUUUCAGAUAAUGAUCAAUUUGAACCUUUCAAACUUCUUUGUGCAAAAGUUAACAAGAUAAAUGUUUAUUUCUUUUUUCUUAUAGAAAUUGGCACUUUGCGUUACUUCAAAAGAAGGCAACGCUUUAUGUAUUUUUUUAUAAUACAAUUUGCAAUAUCACUAAUUCUCGAUUGUUGCAACAACCGUUUUUAUAACGCCAUAACGAUCCAUGUGGACUAUAAUCGUUAAUUGCUUACGUUCCCUUAACUUUGUGAUGUUUCGAAACAAUUCAGCAGAGAGCAUUUUGUAAUAAGCAAUCCACCAAUGGGAUCAAAUACAAACUUCCUUUUUUCCUCAAAUAUACUGCAAUAAAUGUAUACACUGUA